GACGAACGCUGGCGGCGUGCUUAACACAUGCAAGUCGAACGGAAAGGCCCCUUUGGGGGUACUCGAGUGGCGAACGGGUGAGUAACACGUGAGUAACCUGCCCUUGACUUCGGGAUAACUUCAGGAAACUGGGGCUAAUACCGGAUAGGAAUCCUUGCUGCAUGGUGGGGGUUGGAAAGCUUCGGCGGUUUUGGAUGGACUCUCGGCUUAUCAGCUUGUUGGUGGGGUAGUGGCUUACCAAGGCGUUGACGGGUAGCCGGCCUGAGAGGGCGACCGGCCACAUUGGGACUGAGAUACGGCCCAGACUCCUACGGGAGGCAGCAGUGGGGAAUAUUGCACAAUGGGCGGAAGCCUGAUGCAGCAACGCCGCGUGCGGGAUGACGGCCUUCGGGUUGUAAACCGCUUUCAGCAGGGGCGAAGCUUGUGGUGACGGUACCUGCAGAAGAAGCACCGGCUAACUACGUG
rnacentral:rRNA from 1 species